rnacentral:rRNA from 1 species
CAAUAGCGUAUAUUAAAGUUGUUGCGGUUAAAAAGCUCGUAGUUGGAUCUCGGCAGGCAGGGGGUGGUUCGCUCUUAGCGCUACUGCCCCAUUUGCCUGUGUGAUUGGCGGAGGUUUCGGGGUGCCCUUCGUUGAGUGACCCGGGGCGCCGUCAGGUUUACUUUGAAAAAAUUAGAGUGCUCAAAGCAGGCUUUUCACGCUUGAAUAUUCGUGCAUGGAAUAAUGGAAUAGGAACUCGUUUCUAUUUUGUUGGUUUUCGGAAAUCGAGUUAAUGAUUAAUAGGGACAAUUGGGGGCAUUAGUAUUCAGACGACAGAGGUGAAAUUCUUGGACCGUCUGAAGACUAACUACUGCGAAAGCAUUUGCCAAGAGUGUUUUCAUUAA